rnacentral:lncRNA from 1 species
AUUUGCUGUAUGAGUGCAGCAAUCUGUGCAUUUGUGGUGACCAUAGGACGUGAAGAAUUGGGCUCUGCCACACUGGAGGUGGGAGAAGAAUAUCUUCCCGAUGGGAAGACUACCUCAUCGAUCCAGUCGAGUGUUGAGCUCUGAUUUUCGACAUGGUUGAUCAUAGUUGCCCCCUAUCUAGCGCGUCAAUCUAUUGCGAUCAAUCUUCUAUCACC